rnacentral:lncRNA from 1 species
UGAUAGCACCAAAAAUAACUCUACUCACUACGUAGGUAGGAUGAGUCGAGAUCGUAUCCUCAGGGACCUUGGGUUAAGUUGAGAUUGCAAGAUAAAAGAAAGAAGCGUUGUUUUUGAUUUAGAAAAUAAAUUAUCUUAAAAUUGAGGUAAUUAGAAAAUAAAGAACUUGGGAGUUUUGAAUUACUUUGCACUAGCAGAGUUGUAUCUCUUUUUUUUUAAUUAAAUGGAUGCGAUUAAUCUUAGAAAAAAUACCUGUCUUUCCUCGGCACGCUCCGUACCCAUAGAUCACGGCGCGUCUCCGAAAAGUAUUAGGUAAAUAACUCUUCUUUCCUCGGCACGCCCCG